CAAUAGCGUAUAUUAACGUUGUUGCAGUUAAAAAGCUCGUAGUUGGAUUUCUGGAGGGAGCGUCGGCCCGUAUUUACGAGUGCGUGACGUCUCUGUCCAUCCUUGCGGGAAGGCACGGCAUUGAUUUGUUGUGUCGGAUCGCAUCAUUUACUGUGAAAAAAUUAGAGUGUUCAAAGCAGGCUUUCGCUUGAAUACAUUAGCAUGGAAUAAUAAGAUAGGACUUUGGUGCUAUUUUGUUGGUUGAGCCUAAAGUAUGAUUAAUAGGGAUAGUUGGGGGCACCUGUAUUGCGUUGUCAGAGGUGAAAUUCUUGGAUUUACGCAAGACAAACAGCUGCGAAAGCGUCUGCCAAGGAUGUUUUCAUUAA
rnacentral:rRNA from 1 species